AAAGGGAAACGAUUGAAGUCAGUCGUACCAACGGGAAAUCAAUUCAUCGAGUGUUNAAUUUGGGUUUUGAAGAGUGUUAAAACCUUUGGGUUCAGAUAUUUUCACUUUUUGAACGUAUUUUCUCGUACGGUAGGUUAACAUCGAUUUUGAACAUUAUAAAAUGAUCGGAGGAAUGUAGCUUCGAUCUUGUAUUGAAGUGUUAUAGCCUUUGGUAGAUGUAAUGAUCGAGAUCGAGGAUUGCAACGAAUACCCUUUUGGGCUAUCCGUCUGAUCUCUGAUACGUUGCCUCGGUAACGAAA
rnacentral:rRNA from 1 species